rnacentral:RNase_P_RNA from 1 species
CUUGUCUGAUGAGGAAAGUCCGGGCUUCACAGGGCAGGAUGCCGGAUAACGUCCGGUGGAGGUGACUCCAAGGCUAGUGCAACAGAAAUAAACCGCUUUCGGGUUUCCCGAAAGUAAGGGUGGAAAGGUAGUGUAAGAGACUACCGCCCUGUUGGUAACAACAGGGGCACAUGUAAACCCCAUCCGAAGCAAGACCAAAACGAAAGCGAUAAGUCUGCCCGGCUUGCUUUCAGGUAGGUCGCUUGAGGCUGUUGGCGACAGCAGUCCUAGAUAGAUGAUCAUGGAUACAGAACUCGGCUUAUUUUCUGC